AGUCUUAACCGGGCGUUAAGUUGCAGGGUAUAGACCCGAAACCCGGUGAUCUAGCCAUGGGCAGGUUGAAGGUUGGGUAACACUAACUGGAGGACCGAACCGACUAAUGUUGAAAAAUUAGCGGAUGACCUGUGGCUGGGGGUGAAAGGCCAAUCAAACCGGGAGAUAGCUGGUUCUCCCCGAAAGCUAUUUAGGUAGCGCCUCGUGAACUCAUCUCCGGGGGUAGAGCACUGUUUCGGCUAGGGGGCCAUCCCGGCUUACCAACCCGAUGCAAACUGCGAAUACCGGAGAAUGUUAUCACGGGAGACACACGGCGGGUGCUAACGUCCGUCGUGAAGAGGGAAACAACCCAGACCGCCAGCUAAGGUCCCAAAGUCAUGGUUAAGUGGGAAACGAUGUGGGAAGGCCCAGACAGCCAGGAUGUUGGCUUAGAAGCAGCCAUCAUUUAAAGAAAGCGUAAUAGCUCACUGGUCGAGUCGGCCUGCGCGGAAGAUGUAACGGGGCUAAACCAUGCACCGAAGCUGCGGCAGCGACGCUGAUGCGUUGUUGGGUAGGGGAGCGUUCUGUAAGCCUGUGAAGGUGGCCUGUGAGGGUUGCUGGAGGUAUCAGAAGUGCGAAUGCUGACAUAAGUAACGAUAAAGCGGGUGAAAAGCCCGCUCGCCGGAAGACCAAGGGUUCCUGUCCAACGUUAAUCGGGGCAGGGUGAGUCGACCCCUAAGGCGAGGCCGAAAGGCGUAGUCGAUGGGAAACGGGUUAAUAUUCCCGUACUUGGUGUUACUGCGAAGGGGGGACGGAGAAGGCUAUGUUGGCCGGGCGACGGUUGUCCCGGUUUAAGCGUGUAGGUGUGUGUUCCAGGUAAAUCCGGUUCACUUUAACACUGAGGCGUGAUGACGAGGCACUACGGUGCUGAAGCAACAAAUGCCCUGCUUCCAGGAAAAGCCUCUAAGCAUCAGGUAACAUCAAAUCGUACCCCAAACCGACACAGGUGGUCAGGUAGAGAAUACCAAGGCGCUUGAGAGAACUCGGGUGAAGGAACUAGGCAAAAUGGUGCCGUAACUUCGGGAGAAGGCACGCUGACAC
rnacentral:rRNA from 1 species